rnacentral:rRNA from 1 species
CCUACGGGUGGCAGCAGUGAGGAAUAUUGGUCAAUGGGCGCGAGUCUGAACCAGCCAAGUAGCGUGAAGGAUGACUGCCCUACGGGUUGUAAACUUCUUUUAUCAAGGAAUAAAAUGAGGCAUGUAUGCCUUUUUGUAUGUACUUUAUGAAUAAGGAUCGGCUAACUCCGUGCCAGCAGCCGCGGUAAUACGGAGGAUCCGAGCGUUAUCCGGAUUUGUUGGGUUUAAAGGGAGCGUAGGUGGGUUGUUAAGUUAGGUGUGAAAGUUUGCGGCUCAACCGUAAAAUUGCAAUUGAUACUGGCAGUCUUGAGUACAGUAGAGGUAGGCGGAAUUCGUGGUGUAGCGGUGAAAUGCGUAGAUAUCACGAAGAACUCCGAUGGCGAAGGCAGCUCACUAGACUGCAACUGACAUUGAUGCUCGAAAGUGUGGGUAGCAAACAGGAUUAGAUACCCGAGUAGUC